AAUCCAUGGUGUGGUCAUUUCUGAAUCAGUGUCUUAAAAAUCUCCCAUGUUUCAGGAAAAUUUUUUCCCUCUAUUUGUUUGAACAUCAAAAUUUCCCUUCUUAGCU
rfam:Gossypium hirsutum cultivar TM-1 chromosome 10, whole genome shotgun sequence